rnacentral:sRNA from 1 species
UUCGAUCGCGGGGCAAUUCACACGCCCGGUGUUAAAGCAGCGCGGGGUGCCGAAGGGCAGAGGCCUGACGGUUGCGUUGCUUGGCCGGGCGGAGGCUCAAC